GACGAACGCUGGCGGCGUGCUUAACACAUGCAAGUCGAACGGAAAGGCCCCUAUGGGGGUCCUUGAGUGGCGGACGGGUGCGUAACACGUGGGUAACCUGCCCUUUAUUUCGGGUUAACUUCAGGAAAGUGGGGCUAAUAACGCAAAGAAAUCCUUGCUGCAUGGGGGGGGUUGGGAGGCUUCGGCGGUCUUGGAGGGAUGCUCGGCCUAUUGUCUGGUUGGUGGGGGAGUGGCUUACAAAGGCUUUGACGGGUAGCCGCCCCGAGAGGGAGAGCGGCCACAUUCGGACUGAGACAGGGCCCAGACGCCUACGGGAGGCAGCAGUGGGGGAUAUUGCACAAUGGGCAGAAGCCGGAUGCAGCAACGGCGCGUGCGUGGUGACGGCCUUCUGGCUGGAAACAGCUUUCAGCAGGGGCGAAGCUGGUGGUGACGGUACCUGCAGAAGAAGCACCGGCUAACUACGUG
rnacentral:rRNA from 1 species